CUCCAAGGAGAUGGCAAGGGAGCUUAUGUCUCUCAAACACAAGAACUUUGUUGGACUUGAACCUAGGCCUCCUGGCUCACAGAGACAUUUUCAGCAGGAGGCGGCUCCAACGGGGUCUGGAGCGGCAGCGGCGCCUUCCGAGGCAGCGCGGCUACAGAAUCAGCCUCUCAGCCUGUGAGGCCUGGAGCAGGAUUCCACGUGGAGUGGGCAUUGCGUGGUCUGGGAAGGCCGGAGCAGGAUAGUGGCGGCGGCAUGACGCGGUCUGGGAAGGCCGGAGCUGAACACUGGCGGCAUGGCGCAGUCUGGGAAGGCUGGAGUGGGACACUGGCAGCAUGGCGCGGUCUGAGAAGGCCGGAGAAGAACAUUGGCGGUGGCAAUGACGUGGUCUGGGAAGGCCGGAGUGGAACAUUGGUGGCGUGACGCAGUCUGGGAAGGCCGGAGUGGGACACUGGUGGCGUGACGCAGUCUGGGAAGGCCAGAGUAGGACAUUGCUGGCAUGCUGUAGCAGCAGAGAAGAAAAAGUUGGAUUCCAUUUUGAGUUUUUUAAAAUUUUAUUUGAAGUUAAUGUGAAUGGCAUCUAUGUACGGGCAAUGG